rnacentral:rRNA from 1 species
AUUGAACGCUGGCGGCAUGCCUUACACAUGCAAGUCGAACGGCAGCGGGGGAGAAGCUUGCUUUUCCUGCCGGCGAGUGGCGAACGGGUGAGUAAUACAUCGGAACGUGCCCUGUAGUGGGGGAUAACUAGUCGAAAGAUUAGCUAAUACCGCAUACGACCUGAGGGUGAAAGUGGGGGACCGCAAGGCCUCAUGCUAUAGGAGCGGCCGAUGUCUGAUUAGCUAGUUGGUGGGGUAAAGGCCUACCAAGGCGACGAUCAGUAGCUGGUCUGGGAGGACGAUCAGCCACACUGGGACUGCGACACGGCCAAGACUCCUACGGGAGGCAGCAGUGGGGAAUUUUGGACAAUGGGCGAAAGCCUGAUCCAGCAAUGCCGCGUGUGUGAAGAAGGCCUUCGGGUUGUAAAGCACUUUUGUCCGGAAAGAAAUGGCUCUGGUUAAUACCUGGGGUCGAUGACGGUACCGGAAGAAUAAGGACCGGCUAACUACGUGCCAGCAGCCGCCGUAA